rnacentral:tRNA from 1 species
GUCUUCGUAGUUUAAUGGCCAGGACACUCGGCUCGUAUUCGAGACGUCUGUGGUUCAAGUCCCAACAAGGGCA